UGUAAGUGCAGCGAUGCAUUGAGCUAACCAGUACUAAUGAUCCGUGAGGCUUAACCUUACAACACCGAAGGUGUU
rnacentral:rRNA from 1 species